AGCUAAUUAAGUUAUCCAGACUUUAUGUCUUCAAAACAUGUAGAGGCCAAUUUUGGCCAUUGGCUG
rnacentral:tRNA from 1 species